AAGCAACGAGAGGAACAGGCAGAGGCUGAUGGGACUGAGGAUGCUGAUAAAUCAGCUUAUCUGAUGGGCCUGAACUCUGCUGAUCUCAUCAAGGCUCUCUGCCACCCAAGAGUCAAAGUAGGGAAUGAGUGGGUCACAAAGGGACAGAAUGUCCAGCAGGUGUACUAUGCCAUUGGUGCUCUGUCAAAGUCAGUGUACGAGAAGAUGUUCCUCUGGAUGGUUGUGAGA